UACGUAGGGUGCGAGCGUUGUCCGGAUUUAUUGGGCGUAAAGAGCUCGUAGGCGGUCUGUCGCGUCGGAUGUGAAAACCCCAGGGCUCAACCCUGGGCCUGCAUUCGAUACGGGCAGACUAGAGUACGGCAGGGGAGACUGGAAUUCCUGGUGUAGCGGUGAAAUGCGCAGAUAUCAGGAGGAACACCGGUGGCGAAGGCGGGUCUCUGGGCCGAAACUGACGCUGAGGAGCGAAAGCGUGGGGAGCGAACAGG
rnacentral:rRNA from 1 species